GAUGAACGCUGGCGGCGUGCCUAACACAUGCAAGUCGAGCGGCAGCGAGGGGUGCUUGCACCCUGUCGGCGAGCGGCGGACGGCUGAGUAACGCGUGGGAACGUGCCCCAAAGUGAGGAAUACCUCCCGAAAAGGGUGCUAAUACCGGCUAGUAUCUUCUGCUGCAAGGGGUUUUUCCGCUUUGGGCGCGGGUCGCGUCGGGUUUGGCGGUUGGUGAGGUAAUGGCUCACCAAGCGGACGACCCGUAGCUGGGCUGGGAGGAUGACCAGCCAGACUGGAACUGAGACACGGUCCAGACUCCUACGGGAAGCAGCAGUGAGGAAUCUUCCACAAUGGGCGAAAGCCUGAUGGAGCAACGCCGCGUGCAGGACGAAGGCCUUCGGGUUGUAAACUGCUUUUAUAAGUGAGGAAUAUGACGGUAACUUAUGAAUAAGGAUCGGCUAACUACGUG
rnacentral:rRNA from 1 species